AACGAACGCUGGCGGCAGGCUUAACACAUGCAAGUCGAACGCAUCGCAAGAUGAGUGGCAGACGGGUGAGUAACGCGUGGGAAUCUACCCAGUUCUACGGAACAACAGUUGGAAACGACUGCUAAUACCGUAUACGCCCUACGGGGGGAAGAUUUAUCGGAAUUGGAUGAGCCCGCGUAAGAUUAGCUAGUUGGUGGGGUAAUGGCCUACCAAGGCGACGAUCUUUAGCUGGUCUGAGAGGAUGAUCAGCCACACUGGGACUGAGACACGGCCCAGACUCCUACGGGAGGCAGCAGUGGGGAAUAUUGGACAAUGGGCGCAAGCCUGAUCCAGCCAUGCCGCGUGAGUGAUGAAGGCCUUAGGGUUGUAAAGCUCUUUCACCGAUGAAGAUAAUGACGGUAGUCGGAGAAGAAGCCCCGGCUAACUUCGUGCCAGCAGCCGCAGUAAAAC
rnacentral:rRNA from 1 species